CUUUCGCUCGACAAAUAGCUGAGAUGAUUUAUUUUGAUCGAUUUUGCCUUGCGGCAGCACCGAGUCAACUAAACGAAAGCUAUUGAACGAAUCUUUUUUGUCUGCAAAAUCUCAAUCUGUGAUUUAUAAAAAAUAAACAAAGUGUUAUGUGGUGUAGUGUUCUAAUUUUUUUUCUUGCGAAAUUAGAAAAUUAUGGAACAAAAGUUCCAUAAAAAUUAUAAAAAUAAUAAAAAAAAUAAAAUUAGAGAUCAACCACGAAAGGAGGACUGACUGCGUUGGACCAAAAUACUCAGGACUGAAGUGAUUGCAAACCUGAAAUAUAUUAAACAGGAAAUGAUCUGUGCCUGUGACGUUACGACGGAACAUUCUCCCGGCCCGGGCAUCUGUGGCUGAAGAUGACAAAACGAUGUGUUGAUGUUUUUCUAAAGUUAUUAUGUUGUAAUGGUAAUAGCUGUUUUCCAUAUUCUAAAGUAGCAUCCUUUUAGGUUUUUAGGUUCUAACAUCUGUAAGUAGAGAACAAAAAAAAGGAUGGAAGGUUAUAGCGCCUGAGCUCGCUUUUCGGAAAUCCAGGAUAUGGAAUUGGGGAAGGAGAAAAAAAAUCAAUUAAUAAUCGGAAAUUUUUGAUCAUAUCAAAAAAAAUUAUUAAUUUAAAUUAAAUAGAAUAUAUAGAUAUAUUUGAGUGUAGAUUCGCAAAUUUUGUAUUAGUUACAUCUUCUAGUAGUAAGUGUAGAUUCGCAAAUUUUGUAUUAGGUGUUCUCCUAGUAUUAAGUGUAGGUUCGCAAAUUUUGUAUUAGGUGUUCUUCUAAUAUUAAGUGUAGUGCACGACGUAGGUAGUGUAUGCAUAGUACGUUACAAUGUAAACACAUAGUUCCCAUAUAGUGCAGAUAUGUAAUUUCGAUAUAGUGUAGGUACAUGAUUUUGAUAUAGUGUAGGUGCAUAAUUUUGAUAUAGUGUAGGUGCAUAAUUUUGCUAUAUUGUAGUAGGUAUAUAAUUCCGAUGUAGCGUAGGUACAUAAUUUCAAUAUAGUGUAGGUGUACAGUUUACGUUCGCGAUUUUUUUCGAUUGACCUAUGCGAUGUUUCAGUUUCGUUCGCCCAUGAAUGUAUUGGUAGUAGGCAAAUCUUCACUAUUGAACGUUUUAGUAUUCCAUUCUUCGUCUUGAUUGUAACCACUCGAAUUAGUCCAUCUGGACCGGGAUGAGUUUCGAUGAUGCGACCCAUCAGCCAUCUGCUUGGUUUCUUUUUUUAGGAGGACUAAGUCUCCAAAUUUCACGUUUUCAUGCCUUUUAGUCCAUUUUGGACGUUGUUGAAAUCUGCCCAAAUAUUCGCGACUCUAACGGGUUCAAAAGGUUUGAUACAGAAUAUCUUCUGAAGAAAAUAAAUAACUUUGACAUAUAGUGCACGAAAUAUAUUAGCAAAAAUAAAAUAAAGAAAAAAGAAAAGUAUUUUAUUCCGAAUAAAAGGAAGUUUUCUGGUAUGAAAAUCUGGCAUGAUGGUUUUAUUGGUAUGAAAAUACCAAUAAAAAAAAAAAAUUAUAUUUCGGAAAAAUUAUCAACCAUUGAAGAAUUUUUUGAGUUUGAUACAGCCUUUGAAGCAGUUGCCAUCUGUUCAAUCGAUUUUCAACAAGAUCUAAGAUUGAAGGUUCAGGUGGCGUAACAAUUACAUUGCCAAUCAAAAAUGCCCAGGUGUUAGAGCCAUAUAAUCUUCUGGAUUUGUGCUGAUUUUGCCUAAAGUUUAGACAGGCUUCAAUUUGAGCUAGAACAUUUGUCAAUUCUUCAUAAGUUAAUUUAAUAUUGCCGAGUACUCUCCUUAAGUGUUUCUUGGUAAAUCGUAUCUUGGAUCCAGCCUCCCACAGACCGCUGAAAUGAGGUUAGCCCGGUGGUAUAAAAUGGAAUGCUACACGUUCGUCUUCGUGCGACUGCGCCAACUCGCCCUUUAAUUGCUGUAGCAUUUGUUUAUGUUGUUUGGCAAUUUCCUUAUUGGCUCCAACAAAAUUAGUGUCGUUGUCACAGUAGAUUCCUUGACAUUUGCCACGGCUGCUGCUAAAUCGUCUGUAAACCGCGAGGAAGCCUUCACUACUAAGAUCCGUCACCAGUUCUAUAUGUAUGGCCCUUACUGAUAGGCAUAUAAAAAUUACAAUAUAUGCCUUAGGAUUUUUACCUUUGUUGGUUUUGAUUUCAAAAGGCCCGCAAUAGUCAACUCCAGUAUGUCUGAAUGGUCGUGCAGCCCUGACUCGAAAAGCUGGCAAAUCACCCAUUAAUUGGGUUUGAACUCACGCAUUUGUCGAAUUUGGUUUCAUGCGUCAAUAAUCCAAUAGUUGCUAUUUAAAACGUUCAACAUAAGUUGGACGCCACCAUGUAAGGUUUCGCGAUGAACUAUUCCAACAAUAGUCGCAGAAAAGGACUUUUAUCGGGAAGAAUAAUAGGAAAUCUUUCAUUGUAAUUCAAUUCCGAGCAACGUAAUCGAUCUGUCAUGCGCAAUAUUCCAUUUUUCUCUAAAAAAGAACUUAGUUUUGACAGACUACUAUUUCCAUUUAUCACUUUUCGGUUUUCAAGCUGUAGUAUUUCAUGCGCAAAAUGAUGCUUUUGAACAAUGUGUAUCCAUGAAAAUACACUUGCAUUGAAUUCUGUUGCUGUUAUAAAAAUGCUACCCUGCUUAACUUUCUUAACAACACUCAUAAAUCUUCUCACAAAGCUAGUUACUCGUAUUAAUUUUUUAAAUGUUGACAACCUAUUUUGUAACCCUAGAAUGUUGUUAUCGAGAUGAUCGUUGGUGCUCUCACAAGUGGUUCUAUAAGGCCAAAAUUGUUCAGGCAUGCUCAACCAUUCAGAUCCGCGCCACCAUAAAUCCAGAUUCGGCUGUUCUGAAGGUAGAACACUCCGCGAAGCACAAUCUGCUGAGUUCUGCUUUGACGAUACAUGUCGUCAUAUAUUUUUUCCCAAUAAAUGGUGGAUCUCAGCAGUUCGAUUUACCACAAAAGUAGUCCAUUUACUUGGAUGCUCUUCAAGCCAGGCCAAAACAAUCUGGGAAUCUGUCCAGGCCCGUACCUCUGACCAGCUCGUAAUUUUCAAAACGCGGAUCAUCCGUUUUAUUAAUUUUGCUAACAAUGCUGCUCCACUUUUGACUUUGCCGUCACCAGACUAAUUUUUCUGUUACCACUUUUGUUUGUGACUACCAAAUAGACCAUUGUCGCAUACGCUGUAAUUAAAGCAUCACAAAAGCCACGUAGUUCUUUUUGCCGUCGAGGUGUAACUGAACCAUCUAGUAAUCUGGAUCUUUUCCAAUCCCAUAAGAAGACCUGUAGUUCUGCCAUUCAUCCUGUAGGACCUUUUCCAAAUCACCGUCCCAGCCCGAACGAGACAGCUAUAAUUUCUGUAUCAUUAUCUUAGCUAAAAUGAUACAGGGUGCCAGCCAACCAAGGGGAUCGAACCACUUAGACACUUCUGAUAGAACUGAUCGCUUGGUCCAUUUCGAGACUCUAUCCUCCAAUUUGGUAUUUUUAUGCGAAAAGUAGUCAUUAGCUGGGUCCCAUUGCACUGUCAUCAAAUGGUACCGCAUUUGAUGACCACUUACGUAACAAAAAUCCACCCGAAACCAUCAUGUUGAUGAGCUGUUUCUGAAGUUGUAAUGCUUCUUCAAGUGAAUCUGCGCCAGAUAGCAAUUCGUCAACAUAAAAGAACUCUAAUGUUGCCUGCAAUGCCAGAGGAUAUCUGAUCCUUUUAUCUGUAGUUAGCUGCUUUAACACUCGCGUAGCUAAAAAGGGUGCAGAUUUAGUGCCAAAAGCCACGGUAGUUAAUUUAUAAUCACAAAUAGGUUGUCUAGGAGAUUCUCGCCAAACUAUUCGCUGAUAAUCGGUGUAUUUAGGUGCAAGUUUGAUUUGCCUAUACAUUUUUUGGCUGUAAAGGCAACUUUAUAUUUUCGAAAUUGGAGCAAAAGAGUGGCCAGAGUCGUCUUGGAUGACUGGGACCUUCAUCAUCUUGUCAUUCAAGGAUGAGCCGUUGGAUGUAGGUCGCGACGCAUCGAAAACAACUCUUAAUUUCGUGGUGGAAUUACUCUCUUUGAUGACACCGUGAUGUGGCAAAUAAUUGGAAAUGACUUUUUGAUUUUCAUUUCUCAACUUGAUUGAUUCCUCAUUUUGCAUGCGGUUCAUGUUGCUAUACUCAUUAUUACAUUUGAUAUAGUCAUCUUGGAAUUGUUAAUUUUUGCAGAACUGAUUUUCCAUACCGAAGAGUCUGGCAACUACAAUGUGUCUCGAACUUCCAAUCUCAAUUAUGUCUUCUUCUAUAAGUGGUAGCUCCACCUGGUAUCGUCCGUCUGCAGCCUUUGAAUAUGUACUGCAAAAAUGUUUCUCGUAUGCUAGCUCCUCUUCAGUCAUCAUUUUAUUUUCCAAUAUUUCCUGAAGAUCCCAUGUACAAGCGGUCAUCAUGUGUCCAGGCUUCAAACAAUUCAUGCAAAGCCUCCUAGUUUUUACUGCCUCCAAUCACUUAAUUUGACCCAAUCUUGAAAAGGCUUUACACUUUCUUAUCGUAUGCGCGGCUCGACAAAACGGACAUGUAGCACCAUUACUCGUUAACCCAGAUGUGGCAACAUGAAAUGAAGUGCUGUUUUUAUUCCUGGAUGAGUCAUUCUGUACUUGACUCCCUGAACCUGCAAAUAAUUUUCUAGCUACUAUGACCUAAAAAGUGCGGAACCUUGUUUCCAAAAAAUUUUCCAGUUGUCGCCAAGUUAGUAGCUGUUUUUCGAAACUGAUGCUUUGUUACCAAAGCUGAUGCGUUUCCAUUGGUAACUUCGGGACUAUGAGGUACACUGUAUUUUAAUCCCAGCCUUCCUCAUCAAUUUGUAGAUUUGUGAAGGCCUGUAAGCAUUAGUUGUGUCUAAUGGCAUCCUCAUUGGACUCCCCAGUAAGAUGCAACUUUAGACAUUGUAAUUUAUGUACUGCCGGAAGAGUUUCAUUAUUGUGUACCAGGGACCUAAAUGUUAUCCAUGUUAUUCUCUAUGUAUUUAAUCUAUUUAUUUAUAAAUAAGGUUCCAGGUACUCAGAUCACAUCCGUAACAACUAGAUCCGAAACAAAAUCAAGGGUAAAAGCUCGAAAAAUCCAGCACAGGCAAAUUAAAAAUGCUAAUUAAACACUCAAAAUAAUAUCUUUUUUUUCAAAUGUAAAUAUAUUUUUCUUGUUUAUCUUUAUUAAAACGUUUUAUAAUUAAUAAAUUUAAAUUAGUAUGAAAA